GACUCGUUGGUGAAAUUGGUUUAACACACAGCCCUUUCACGGCUGGAUUGAGGGUUCGAACCCCUCACGAGCCACCA
rnacentral:tRNA from 1 species